AUUGAACGCUGGCGGCAGGCUUAACACAUGCAAGUCGGACGGUAACAGGAGGAAAGCUUGCUUUCUUUGCUGACGAGUGGCGGACGGGUGAGUAAUGCUUGGGAAUCUGUUUUAUGGAGGGGGAUAACUACGGGAAACUGUAGCUAAUACCGCGUAAUAUCGAGAGAUUAAAGUGUGGGACCGUAAGGCCACACGCCAUAGAGUGAGCCCAAGUGGGAUUAGGUAGUUGGUGGGGUAAAGGCCUACCAAGCCGUCGAUCUCUAGCUGGUCUGAGAGGAUGACCAGCCACACUGGGACUGAGACACGGCCCAGACUCCUACGGGAGGCAGCAGUGGGGAAUAUUGCACAAUGGGCGCAAGCCUGAUGCAGCCAUGCCGCGUGAAUGAAGAAGGCCUUCGGGUUGUAAAGUUCUUUCGGUGGUGAGGAAGGUUGUAAUGUUAAUAGCAUUAUAAUUUGACGUUAGCCACAGAAGAAGCACCGGCUAACUCCGUGCCAGCAGCCGCGGUAAUACGGAGGGUGCGAGCGUUAAUCGGAAUAACUGGGCGUAAAGGGCACGCAGGCGGAUACUUAAGUGAGGUGUGAAAGCCCUGGGCUUAACCUAGGAAUUGCAUUUCAUACUGGGUAUCUAGAGUAUUUUAGGGAGGGGUAGAAUUCCACGUGUAGCGGUGAAAUGCGUAGAGAUGUGGAGGAAUACCGAAGCGAAGGCAGCCCCUUGGGGGAAUACUGACGCUCAUGUGCGAAAGCGUGGGGAGCAAACAGG
rnacentral:rRNA from 1 species